GGUUCCGUGGCCGAGUGGUUAGGCAGAGCUCUGCAAAAGCUUCCACAGCGGUUCGAAUCCGCUCGGGACCUCAA
rnacentral:tRNA from 1 species